rnacentral:rRNA from 1 species
AACGAGCGCAACCCUUAUCCUUAGUUACCAGCACGUAAAGGUGGGGACUCUAGGGAGACCGCCGGGGACGACUCGGAGGAAGGUGGGGACGACGUCAAAUCAUCAUGCCCCUUAUGUCUUGGGCUACACACGUGCUACAAUGGCCGCAACAGAGGGAAGCGAGAGCGCAAGCUGGAGACAAAACCCUAAAAAGCGGUCCCAGUUCGGAUUGUGGGCUGCAACCCGCCCACAUGAAGUCGGAGUUGCUAGUAAUCGCGAAUCAGCAUGUCGCGGUGAAUGCGUUCCCGGGCCUU